rnacentral:rRNA from 1 species
CGAUAACGAACGAGACCUUAACCUGCUAAAUAGCCCGUAUUGCUUUGGCAGUACGCCGGCUUCUUAGAGGGACUAUCGGCUCAAGCCGAUGGAAGUUUGAGGCAAUAACAGGUCUGUGACGCCCUUAGAUGUUCUGGGCCGCACGCGCGCUACACUGACGGAGCCAGCGAGUACUCCCUUGGCCGGAAGGCCUGGGUAAUCUUGUUAAACUCCGUCGUGCUGGGGAUAGAGCAUUGCAAUUAUUGCUCUUCAACGAGGAAUCCCUAGUAAGCGCAAGUCAUCAGCUUGCGUUGAUUACGUCCCUGCCCUUUGUACACACCGCCCGUCGCUACUACCGAUUGAAUGGCU